GGGCUACACCGCACUUCACCUGGCGUCUAUACAUGGACACGACCACAUCAUCCAGCUCCUCAUCAACACCUACAAUGCCAGAACAGACAUAAGAGACUACAGUGGGAAGCAUGCAGUCCAUUACUGGAAAGGAAAUGCAGAUGUGUUCAACAAACCAGCAUCACAGUCAUGUGGGAAGUGGUCGUCCAAAAUAGGAAGGAAAACCCAGCGUUACACAAACCUGCCCUCCCUUCUGCUCUCGCGCUCCCGGAGCCAAGGGAACCUGCACAGCUUGGAGUUUGGGACUACACCUCAGACCCUCCGGACUCCACGCUCCCCGUCCAACAUUGACCUACACGGGAUUCCAUCCCCGCAGCUCUUUAGAGAUCAUUUCUAAGCAAUGAUCCGUAGCACAUUGAUAUUUUGGCUGUUUUCAAAAUGUUCUCUUGAGAGUUGCUCAUAACUACCUGUAGGUCGUCCUCUCUCUUGUAUAGAGAAGCCUUUUUUUCCAAAUAUAAUGUGUAUUUGUUUUAAUAUUAAU
ensembl:lncRNA